rnacentral:rRNA from 1 species
AGUGAACGCUGGCGGUAGGCCUAACACAUGCAAGUCGAACGGCAGCACAGUAAGAGCUUGCUCUUACGGGUGGCGAGUGGCGGACGGGUGAGGAAUACAUCGGAAUCUACUUUUUCGUGGGGGAUAACGUAGGGAAACUUACGCUAAUACCGCAUACGACCUACGGGUGAAAGCAGGGGAUCUUCGGACCUUGCGCGAUUGAAUGAGCCGAUGUCGGAUUAGCUAGUUGGCGGGGUAAAGGCCCACCAAGGCGACGACCCGUAGCUGGUCUGAGAGGAUGAUCAGCCACACUGGAACUGAGACGCGGUCCAGACUCCUACGGGAGGCAGCAGUGGGGAAUAUUGGACAAUGGGCGCAAGCCUGAUCCAGCCAUACCGCGUGGGUGAAGAAGGCCUUCGGGUUGUAAAGCCCUUUUGUUGGGAAAGAAAAGCAGCAGGUUAAUACCCCGCUGUUCUGACGGUACCCAAAGAAUAAGCACCGGCUAACUUCGUG